rnacentral:lncRNA from 1 species
GUGCAGUACAGUGGUCUGUAUACUAGGGUCUGCAGAUGUGUCCGGUAGUACAUGGUGGUCUGGUCUAGUACAGAGUGGUCUGGUAGUAGAGUUGUCUGGUAGUACCUGGUGGUCUGUUAGUACCUGGUGGUCUGGUAGUACCUGGUGGUCUGGUAGUACAGAGUGGUCUGCUAGUACAGAGUGGUCUGGUAGUACCUGGUGGUCUGGUAGUCCGGUGGUCUGGUAGUGUACAGAGUGGCUGUGGGUUUAGUACGUGGCAGUCUGGUAGUACCUGGCAGUCUGGUAGUUACCUGGCUGAGGUCUGGUAGUACAGAGUGGUUCUGGCUCAGUACGAGUGGUCUGCUAGUAC